AUACUUACCUGGACAGGGUCAAUGAGUGAUCAUGAAGACUCAUGGCCUAGAGCAGUGACCACCAUUGCACUUUGGAUGGGUGCUGCUUUAAGGUCUCCCGAGGAGGGAGAGCCUAUGUCAUAAUUUGUGGCAGUGGGGCUUGCGUACGCGCAGCCUCUAC